UUAUUUGAUACUAGCGCAAAUAUAUAGUAUAAUCAUCUUGUCUUAGGACUAUGGCGAUAAACGCUGUUUGGAAUAAGCGCUUUGGACCUGGGGGCAGUACCCAGCGGCUCCACCAGUUAUAAUUUGCGUUCCUUAGCUGCGCAGGCUAAUCGCCCUCAAUGGGCUUGCCUCGCUGCGCUCGGAAACGCUCUUUCGAGAUGGUUAUAACCGGUGGGGCCGACACAGCUUCGACAAACGUAAUAAAGAAAUAGUCUUUGCCCAAGGAGGAUGCUCCUUGUAAAAAAAGGUCAAAAUGAUAAAUGCAAACGAUAACAAUAUCGUUGCUGCUAACGACAACUUCAUUGUUGAUGGUGCUGUUGCUGCCUAAUAGGACGCAAUAACAUUUACGUUACAGCGGGGUUUUGGGCGCACCUGUCAACAGAAGCGCCCUUUA
rnacentral:tmRNA from 1 species